rnacentral:ncRNA from 1 species
CUACGGACUUAAUUAGAUUGAGCCUUGGUAUGGAAACUUACUAAGUGAAAACUUUCAAAUUCAGAGAAACCCUGGAAUUAACAAUGGGCAAUCCUGAGCCAAAUCCUGCUUUCGGAAAACAAACAAAAAAAGUUCAGAAAGGACUUUGUAAAACUAUUUUACGCCGACAAUGUAUACAAGUUAAAG